AUACCUGAGUCAUGUGGCUGUGACACCUGUCACCCCAUUGAUCAACUGAGUUGAUUCAGGCUGAUCUGCCGGCAAGGGAGGUGUCCCCUUUCUCCCUCACAGUUCCUAUGCGACCCUCCUGAAGCUCAUACCUAGUCGAAGAGGAUGACCGUCUGUAAUAAAGAACGACCAUUCUUCAGUCAAGGAUAUAUGAGUAGUUACAUUUCCCUGCUCAGUAGUUACAUUUCCCAAGCUCUCCAGGUCCCUCUGUAGAAUGCAGGGGAUGCGAGCUUCCAACGCUUCACACACGUCCACGUAGGAUGCUGCAUCUAGCAGUCUGCCUCUCUU
rnacentral:snRNA from 1 species